rnacentral:rRNA from 1 species
CGGACGGGUGAGUAACGCGUGGGUAACCUGCCUUAUACAGGGGGAUAACAGUCAGAAAUGGCUGCUAAUACCGCAUAAGCGCACAGAGCUGCAUGGCUCAGUGUGAAAAACUCCGGUGGUAUAAGAUGGACCCGCGUUGGAUUAGCUUGUUGGCAGGGUAACGGCCUACCAAGGCGACGAUCAGUAGCCGGCCUGAGAGGGUGAACGGCCACAUUGGGACUGAGACACGGCCCAAACUCCUACGGGAGGCAGCAUG